rnacentral:rRNA from 1 species
GGACUUAACGCAAAGAACGUUUAUAGACGGACCCGGUCUGAAAAAAAAAAGCAUAUGUUUUUGAUAAACGGCGUGACUUUUUAACUUAAAGCAAUCACUUGUCUUUUAAUAGAGACCUGUAUGAAUGGCAUAACGAGGGCUUGACUGUCUCCUUUUUCCAGUCAAUGAAAUUGAUCUCCCCGUGCAGAAGCGGGGAUAAUAACAUAAGACGAGAAGACCCUGUGAAGCUUUAAGACAAUAAGCAGACCAAACUAACCACCCCGAACAAAAGGACUAAAGCACAGGACCCUGCCCUAAUGUCUUCGGUUGGGGCGACCACGGAGAAACAAAAAACCCCCAUGUGGACCAGGAGCACCCUUACUUCCCCUCCCCCUCCUACAACCAAGAGUUACAACUCAAAGUACCAAAACCCUUGACCAAACAUGAUCCGGCAACGCCGAUUAACGAACCAAGUUACUCCAGGGAUAACAGCGCAAUCCCCUUCUAGAGCCCAUAUCGACAAGGGGGUUUACGACCUCGAUGUUGGAUCAGGACAUCCUAAUGGUGCAGCCGCUAUUAAGGGCUCGUUUGUUCAACGAUUAAAGUCCUACGUGAUCUGAGUUCAAACAAAGAUUCCCGCCUGUU